CAUCUGACCUUUCUACUGAUAUAUGUGGGAGUCGGUAAUAGACAAACACAGACAAUGUGUAAGUUGUAAGACACUUUGUGACUGAAGGGAAAUGAAUGAAGAAAUGUAGUCAAACAAAGAAAUCCAUGCGUUAAUCAAUCUCUCUCUCUUUAACUCUCGCCCUUUACUUUUCUCUCCCUCUCCCUUGCCCCUAUGUCUCGCUCUCUCUCUCUUGCCCCUCUGUCUCUCUCUCUCCCUCUUUGUCUCUAUGUCUCUCUAUCUUUCUCUAUGUCUCUCUAUCUGUCUCUAUGUCUCUCUCUCUCUCUUUGUCUCUAUGUCUCUCUAUCUUUCUCUAUGUCUCUCUAUCUGUCUCUAUGUCUCUCUCUCUCUCUCUCUCUUUGUCUAUAUGUCUCUCUAUCUGUCUCUAUGUCUCUCUCUCCCUCCAGGAGUGGGUAUACACAGUGGGCCAACAGAUCCGUCAGCAGCAGCUGUGUCUCUCUCUCUCCACAACCUUCCCAGCCUCCCAAGUCAUGCUGCUGCCCUGCAACAUGGCUGACGGCAAGCAGCGAUGGCAGAAGUCCGGCACCCACCUGGAGCACCUGGCCUCCCGGUUCUGCCUGGACUCCGAGAUGGCUCUGGACGGCAUGGACUCCUCCCGCAUGCUGGUCAUCAGCCCCUGCGAACUCAGCGCCUACACACAGAGAUGGGAGGUGCCCUUCUCCUGACCCCCGAGACCUCGGACCUGACCCCGCGCGACCACCCUUUCAGAAGUGACAGGACACAUUGACAUCGUCACACACGGUUCACACACUGUUUGCAUUGUAGGAGUUAUUCAGUGGCACACUCACUCUAACUCACUCUAAAAGUGAUAUCGCAAGUAUCUCGUGCAAACCUGCAUCUAAACAUUUACACACACACACACGCACACACAUGUACACACACACACACACACACACACACACAAACACACAUGAACACACACACCUGCCCAGGUACGACCUACUGCAGCGGAGCUGUCAGGAUGUGGACGACUCCUCUGGUUUAUGCUGCUAUCCGUGCGGAAAACUAUGGGAUGUUCUUUUUUAAUGGUGGAUCUAUUGGACUUGUGGAACCAGCUGUGUUUACACACAAAGAAUGAGUGCUGUUGGCUGCUCUUCCAGGCUUGGGGGUUACAUGUGCUUAUAUAAUAACAAUCCCAUGUUGAUGACGUCAUGAAGAAGCGGGGCAAUGAUACUUUGGAAGAAAUUGUUGUAAAGUGAUGGGGAAAUGUUAUAUUUAUAUUGUUUUAUCCUUUCUGAGGGCUCUAAAACUGCUUAUAUUUUCAUUUUUGCACCUCCCGAUUCUAAUAACUAUAAUUAAUUAGUAUACCCACCUUUUAAAAAGGGAUUAUCAAGUGCGCCUUGAAACCAAAUUCAAGUCGAAUUCACUUCCAAUAAGAACUUUGUUAGGAUUGUCUCAUCUGUCAAAGCCUAAUCCAUGAUAUAUAUAGAUAUAUAUUUGACAAAACAGCCUAAAGAUGGAUACUUUUUUGCUGAAACAGAAUUGUAUCCGUGAGAAUAUGUGAUCUGAAUGCAUUUGACGAGUGAGUCUUUGACUGCAUCUAAGGCAACUUGUGGCCCGGUCAAGGCACAUUUCUCUCAUCAGGAUUCUGUCUGGUGAUCCACAUAUUCUGCAUGAAAUGACUGCACAAUGAGUAGCUGAUUGCGUGUAUUUAUUGAAGGGCAAAUCACAACUUUAGUUGUGUAAGAAAAUACACAGAUCAACCUCAAAAAAACCAGAGUGAGAGAGUGAGAGAGAGCGAGAGAGAGAGCACAACGAAGAAGGGUUAAAAAUAAUACAAGUAAAGCACGCAUGCAGCAUUCUUUACCCUACAGGCAUCUUAGAGGUCAGAGGUCGGUAUAUCGGGGCUGGACUGUUGCUACCCUAAGAGCAACUGAACAACAAUAACCGCGACUUCCUCCCAGUUACAUGGAGAAAACAGUUUCUUGUUGAGAUUCCACCCCAAAACAAAGUGCAUCUUGGUGCAUCUUUAUUUAUGUCUUCUUUUGAGGCUGGGGAGAUAAAACUUAACGCACCUUAAGUUGUCCAAUACCUGGGAAACCUUUUGAAAAAAGUAUAAUUACAAGUCGAUAAAUUACAGGUCCUGUAAUGGGAUGUCUUUCCUCAAAUUUGUUCUGUAAAAACCUCAGAAGAGACGGGACGAUUGAUGCACACCACCUUCACGUGAAGAAGGGAAAAAACAUUUUACGAAUCAUAUCCUAUUUCAAAUUUUCAAAAAGGACAGCCACCACUUUGUGUGUGUGACCAGAGGCCUGUGGACGCAGCGUUCAGGAGUGUCCCCAGGUUGUGGUUAUGGUGGAGAGGCAAACGCAGAUUUUUGUGACCCAUUUUGAUAUCCUGAUGGAGCUUUCUUGAAUAAAGAUUUUGUAAUGGCUGAUUUGAUCUGUCCUAAUGGCCUGUGAACUGUAAAUACACAAACAGACACCAUAUAGAAGGAUGUUGUACAACUACAGUUUACAGAAGUAAAGUGGAAUGUUUUGUCCACUAUCAUAUUUUAAUUGAUGUUGAUAUAGUAAUACCAAAAGAAGUUAUACCAAAAGUACCGUUAUAAUAGUAGUGAUAUACUAUUAUAACAAAAUAAAUAACAUUGUAUUUAAUUAUUUUUAUAUGCUUAAGCUAUAACUUCAAAAAAUGGCAUAGUGAAGAAACAAAGAUGAACAGUAACGCUGAAUCUGCAUUCAAGUACUUGCAUCCCACCAGAGAGAAUGAGAGCUGCUGACGGGAGGGGGAGAGGGAGAGAGGGAGAGGUACAGGGAAGGAGAGAGAUAGAUAGAGGGAGAGAGAACACCAUGCUCUCGAAUUAGCGUUCCCAUUCCCUUGCCAGACACAAACUAUCUUAAUACCAUCUCAGUCUUGGACGUUGGCUACUCUGUGAAUGAUUAUGGUUAUAUUUGCCUCCCUCACAUCAAUGGAAUAUCGGAUGGUGCGGACACGACUGUAACGUGUCAUAUUACAAAACAUUUCGCCGGCUAACGAGAGAAUCGCGUACAGGUACGUACAAUAAUGACCUUCUAUUACGUUGUUUAACAAUGUGUUCUUGCUAUUGUCAAGGUCACACAUAUAAAAUGGUAAGAUUGUUGCGUUGUUUUCAGUUUAGACGGAUUGGCCGAUAAUUAAAAAAAUAAUUUUGCCAGCCUCUUGUAAAGAUAGAAGACGAGAACCUAACGUUACGUCACGUGACCGGCCGGAACGUUUAUUCGCCCACACUCAACGGAUGUAGUUCUCACUCGAGCCAUGUGCAUGAUAUGUUGCAAUGCGUAAAAUAAAAAGAACUACAAUCCCAUUAGUUCUCUGCGGCGACUGGUUUUUACGUUGUAUGCAUGCUACGUAUUAUUUUGGGGACCAUAAAUGCAUGGUGUUGCUGUGGUCCUUUCUGGUCUGAUCGUGGUCUUAAAAUCCUUUCUGAUAGAGAGUCAUGUUGUUAACCUUGCUGUAAGCAUAUUUGGGUCUUAUUCGUGUUUACCUGGACGUAAAACAUGAGUCCAUCGUCGCUUAUAGGAAGUAAGUAGCGUCCACAUCAUGGGAAAAGACUGAUCUACAUUGGGUCACGUUAGACUAGAAUUCUCCUUUAGUGUCAAAUGUAUUACUAAGUUUGGCCAGUAAACGCCUAUAAACCCAAACGUUUGCUCAAACCAAAUCUACAUAUUUUCUUUUAAGGGGAUACAAUCAGAUGCCCCAUUGUUCAAUG
rnacentral:lncRNA from 1 species